UUAAGAGUGGAGGAGCUCUCUUCGGCUGGGGAGAUCCUUACUCUCCAUGGCCACCAGAUGGCGAAGGCUGCCCGCGGCCCAGAAGAGAGAGGAGCCUGCAGACCCGCGCGGAAACUCUGCUGCGGGACCUGGAGGCCAAGGUCGUAAUAAGGAGAAAUUCGAUGACCAGCAAGGCUGGAGUCCCAUCGUCUUGUUGGGGGAGAGGGGGGAGAAGAAAAAGGUGCCUGUAACUUCAGACUGUCCAAGAUAUCGCUUAGCUCCUGCGCCCGGAAGAAAAUCCAGCGCAGGUCGGGUUCCGGCGCGCGGAAGCCCUGCGAACCCCAAAUGUGUGCGCUGAGCCGAGGCCUCUAAGCGGUAGGAGAGAAUCUGACCUCCGACAUUCUUUUCAAGACACGCGCCGGUGGACCGGGUCCUGGGAUUGGCUUACUCCCGGGCUGGACCUUGGGGUUCGCAUAUUUGAAAGCGUAAACUUGAGGAAUGACGGCGGGGUGAUGGGUAUUUUAUAGAGUGGGACUCAAUCGUGCUCAGCAACAGAUUUCUCCAAAUUCCCUUUUAAAAAGAGCCUCCCAGAGCUGUCGAAAUCUCCGCGGGGUGAAAGCUAAACUUUUGGAGUCGCUGUGUAGCCGGGUAGAGGACACGGCGGCGCGAGCCGGAAAGAUAAGUGUCCAGGCGAAUGGGAAAGGAAAGAUCUUAAUUUUUGUUCCUACUGUUAGCUGAAUGUCCAUAAAAAUCAAAGGGAAUGCGGGGAAGUUUUUAUUCCAGAGCGUUUCCAUGACACCCGCAGAGAUUUAAAAAAUUACAUUCCUCCCCCUACGCAGGUUUAAUUCGGAAAGAAGAGACUGCAGAGGAGAGGGAAGACCGUGAGUCUGCUUUCACCUAGGUUUAAAGCGAAUCAAAGACGGCUGUAAAAAGGGAAACCGGGACCAAAAACAGAUUUGGAGCCUCGAAACUCUCCAUUGAAGGUUUGGAAGAUACGUUGCUGCAGACUUGAAACCGGCUCCAAAUCCGGCCCAAACAUGGGCUGAAAAUAUGGCGCGCUAAUCUGCUGCUUCCCCUCCUCCUCAAGUUCUUUCUGACUCUUCCCACCUUUCCCAGUUUCCCUUCCAGACGUCUGCGGCUCCCCACUCCACCCCCAGGAUAGCUACUCUACAUCCCGACAAUUCCCAGCUUCUACACCCAGGAGGAGGAAUUCUGGAACCACCCAGAGCGAACUCGUGCCGGGGCGGGGUGGGGACCGGAGGAAGGUCCUGCUCCGAAUUCUCUCCAGAGCAGAAAAGAAUUCUAGAGGCUACAUGUGGGCUGCUUUCCCCCCUUCUUCCUUUUUUCCCUCGCAAACCAACAACCAAAAAGUGUUUGGUGAUGGAAAGAACACCAGUGGAAAACGGCAAAUAACAGUAUUUCCAACUCCGA
rnacentral:lncRNA from 1 species